AUCAACUUUCGAUGGUAGGAUAGAGGCCUACCAUGGUGGUAACGGGUAACGGGGUGUUAGGGCACGACACCGGAGAGGGAGCCUGAGAAACGGCUACCACAUCCAAGGAUGGCAGCAGGCGCGCAAAUUACCCAAUCCCGACACGGGGAGGUAGUGACAAUAAAUAACAAUACGGGGUUCUUUCGGAUCUCGUAAUUGGAAUGAGUACAAUUUAAAUCUCUUAACGAGGAACAAUUGGAGGGCAAGUCUGGUGCCAGCAGCCGCGGUAAUUCCAGCUCCAAUAGCGUAUAUUAAAGUUGUUGCAGUUAAAAAGCUCGUAGUUGAAUUUCGGGGUUAGUAGGCUGGUCAUGCCACCGGUAUGUACUGGUCUUACUGAUUCCUCCUUCCUGAUGAACUGUAAUGCCAUUAAUUUGGUGUUGCAGGGAAUCUGGACUGUUACUUUGAAAAAAUUAGAGUGUUUAAAGCAGGCUAACGCUUGAAUACAUUAGCAUGGAAUAGUGAAAUAGGACGUUCGAUCCUAUUUUGUUGGUUUCUAGGAUUGACGUAAUGAUUAAUAGGGAUAGUUGGGGGCAUUAGUAUUCAAUUGUCAGAGGUGAAAUUCUUGGAUUUAUUGAAGACUAACUACUGCGAAAGCAUUUGCCAAGGAUGUUUUCAUUAAUCAAGAACGAAAGUUAGGGGAUCGAAGACGAUCAGAUACCGUCGUAGUCUUAACCAUAAACUAUGCCGACUAGGGAUCGGAUGAUGUUAAUUUUUUAAUGACUCAUUUCGGCGUCUUACGGGAAACCAAAGUGUUUGGGUUC
rnacentral:rRNA from 1 species